CCAAGCGUGGCAAGUUCAAGCUCGGAUUCUUCCGUCCAGGCGGCCAAGCGGCCAGGCCAAUCCUCCCAGAGUCCCACUCCCAGGCUCCCAGGCUCCCAGGCGGCGUCCUCCUCACUCCUCUGUCCUCUCCCAGUCGGCCAGUCCCAGGCGGCACCACGGCACGGCGCACGGGCACCAGCAGGCAGCACCGGAGCAGCCGGCCAGUCGCCCAGUCCCACUGCUCCACCUCCACUCGCGCACCAGCAGGCAGUAGGUAGCAGGGGCGGAUCUCCACCCGGGGCUGCCUGGGCUGCAACCCCGGUCGUCGGCAGUCACGGCCCAGUAGAGGCCCAUCCUCGCGCGACGCGACCUAGCGAUAGCCGUCCUGCGUCCAGCCUCAGCUCCAGCCGCCGCAGCGCCGCUCCCUGCCGGCUGCUUUCUUCUACCCUCCUCGGCACCUCCUGGCUCCUGCGUCCUGGUCCUGCAGUCCUGCCUCCUCUCCAGCGCGCU
rnacentral:misc_RNA from 1 species